rnacentral:rRNA from 1 species
AUGCUCUCGCCGCCAUCAGCAGUUACCUCCUCCACCGCUGCAGCCCAGAUCUGCGCCGCCGCGGUACCCUCCCGCUGCGAUUACCCGCGGCGUCGCCGGAAUCUCCCACUACGUCUUCCUCGAGGCCAUGCGCGUUCCUCCUCGAGCUCGCCCGCAUCCUCCUCAAGCCCGCGCACGUCUUCCUCGUGCUCCCGCGCGUCCUCCUCGAGCUCCGGCGCGUGCGCUGCCGUGAUCUCCUACCGGCGUCGCCGGAGGCUGCCUCCACGAUCCGGUGGACCAGGAGCACGCGCACGUGAUCCUCAAUCUCCAGCGCGACCUCGUCGAUCUCCCACGCCCGCGCACCCGUGCUGCUCCUUCUCCCCUGCCCACGCACCCGUGCGGCUGCUUCUCCCCUGUCGCCGGUGGUUUCUGCCCGUGCUGCUGCUGCUCCGCUGA